UCGAGUCUCAGAGAGUUGAUCUGGCUCAGGACGAACGCUGGCGGCGUGCUUAACACAUGCAAGUCGAACGGGAGUAUUGAAGAAGCUUGCUUUAGAGAUACUUUAGUGGCGGACGGGUGAGUAACGCGUGAGGAACUGUCCUAUGCAGGGGGACAACAGCUGGAAACGGCUGCUAAUACCCCAUAAGCCGAGAGGUAAAAAGGAUCAAUCCGGCAGAGGAGGUACUCGCGUCCUAUCAGCUAGUAGGUGAGGUAACGGCUCACCUAGGCGAAGACGGGUAGCCGGCCUGAGAGGGCGAACGGCCACACUGGAACUGAGAUACGGUCCAGACUCCUACGGGAGGCAGCAGUGGGGAAUAUUGGGCAAAGUGGGGGAAACCCUGACCCAGCGACGCCGCGUGGGUGAAGAAAUCCUUCGGGAUGUAAAGCCCUGUUGUAUGGGAAGAGCGGAAGACGGUACCAUACGAGGAACGCCCCGGCAAACUACGUGCCAGCCGCGGC
rnacentral:rRNA from 1 species